rfam:Scytonema hofmannii PCC 7110 genomic scaffold Scaffold1, whole genome shotgun sequence.
GUUGCAACUUAUACUAAUCCCUAUCAGGGAUUGAAAC